GUCCAUGCCUUAAACGAUGCAUACUAGGAGUAGGAGGGCUCAACCCCCUCUGUUCCGGAGCUAACGCAUUAAGUAUGCCGCCUGGGGAGUACGCUCGCAAGGGUGAAAACUCAAAAAGAAUUGACGGGGGCCCGCACAAGCAGUGGAGCAUGUGGUUUAAUUCGAUGCAACGCGAAGAACCUUACCUGGGCUCGAAAUGUAGAGGACUGUACCAGAGAUGGUACAUCUCGAAAGAGUCUCUAUAUAGGUGCUGCAUGGCUGUCGU
rnacentral:rRNA from 1 species